rnacentral:siRNA from 1 species
AUGUAUAUGUACAGUUGGCCAGA